rnacentral:rRNA from 1 species
UACGUAGGGCGCGAGCGUUGUCCGGAAUUAUUGGGCGUAAAGAGCUCGUAGGUGGCUUGUCACGUCGGGUGUGAAAGCUUGGGGCUUAACUCCAGGUCUGCAUUCGAUACGGGCUGGCUAGAGGUAGGUAGGGGAGAACGGAAUUCCUGGUGUAGCGGUGAAAUGCGCAGAUAUCUGGAGGAACACCGGUGGCGAAGGCGGCGUUCUGGACUGCUACUGACACUGAGGAACGAAAGCCAGGGGAGCAAACGGG